CAAACUUUCUUUUGCAUAUGGGGGGAUAUGGAUUGGUUCAUGUUUCGAUUGUGUGAAUACAGAAACGUGCCAUGCUCAGAAAGUGAUUGAAAUUGAAUAAAAUAAACUAUAAAAAAAUACUUGAAUAAAUGCGUACUUGGAUAGCUGGAGGAAUCCACUCUGAUGCGGUACUGGAGAGCACCAGAGAGGUCUAGAGAGCGGUCUAGAGAGAGGUCUAGAGAGAGGUCUAGAGAGCGGUCUAGAGAGAGGUCUAGAGAGAGGUCUAGAGAGAGGUCUAGAGAGAGGUCUAGAGAGAGGUCUAGAGAGAGGUCUAGAGAGCGGUCUAGAGAGAGGUCUAGAGAGAGGUCUAGAGAGAGGUCUAGAGAGAGGUCUAGAGAGAGGUCUAGAGAAGAAUGUUUAAAUCCUUGACCUCAAAUAUCUCCAACUCCAAAUCACUUCUAGUUCUGUGCUGCUGAACUUGAGUGUGGGGUGUGUGUAAGUGUGUCAAAGGUCUGUCGUCUUAGUGAAGAUUUAGUAGAGCUGUGUGUGUGUGUGUUUGUGAGUGAGAGAGGGAGUGCAUGAAUACGGGCGUGUUGAAGGCCCAUCAU
ensembl:lncRNA